UCUCGAUGGUAGUGUAUUGGACUACCAUGAGGAUUACGGGUACGAGGAAUUAGGGUUUGAUAUCGGAGAGGGAGCCUGAGAAACGGCUACCACUUCUAAGGAAGGCAGCAGGCGCGUAAAUUACCCCAAUCCCAAACUCGGGGAGGUAGUGACAAGAAAUAAUAACUCGGAUAGUUCUACUAUUACGAGAUUAAAAUGAGAACAAUUUAAAAAUCUUAACGAGGAACAAAAUGAGGGCAAGUCUGGUGCCAGCAGCCGCGGUAAUUCCAGCUCAUUUAGUGUAUAUUAAAGUUGUUGCAGUUAAAAAGCUCGUAGUCGAUCAUCUAGUGCUUGCCGUCGUGGCUUCGGUCAUUGCGCGCGGGUGCUAUCUGCUCGAGAACUUCAUCUAACUUCACUGUUCGAUGUUGCUGAUCGGGCACUUUCCUGAGAAAAAAUUAGAGUGUUCAAAGCAGGCUAAUGCCUUGAAUAUUACAGCUUGGAAUAAUAGAAUAAGACUGAAGUCUCUUUUGUUGGUUAUGAACUUUAGUAAUGGUUAAUAGAAACAGGCGGGGGCAUUAGUAUUUAAUUGUCAGAGGUGAAAUUCUAUGAUUUAUUAAAGACUAACUUAUGCGAAAGCCUUUGCYSAGGAUGUUUUCDAUUAUCDAGAACGAAAGUUAGGGGUCGAAGACGUCGGAUCCUC
rnacentral:rRNA from 1 species